UGUAUCGGAAGCCUGACGAGGAUGAGAACCUCCGGGGGCAAGAGGUUCGACCCGAGCGAAGCGAGAGAACGUUGCGUCAGCAACGGCCCGCAGGGCGAGCCACCCUCUAUCACCGGCAG
rnacentral:sRNA from 1 species